AAGUCGUAACAAGGUUUCCGUAGGUGAACCUGCGGAAGGAUCAUUAACAAGAAAUUUGGAUGCGGCCGUGGGCGCAAGCCUGCGGCUGUUCAUUCCAUACCACAUCUACCUUGUGAACUGUGAACCGAGUGCCUGAACUGUGCCGGCUGGCACGGCUCAGGAACCCUUUUACAUAUACUGUCUUAAUACAAUCUGUCGCAGUCGCGACACUGAAUUAAUACAACUUUUAACAAUGGAUCUCUUGGUUCCU
rnacentral:misc_RNA from 1 species